UUUGAUUUCUGUGGAGCUUAGACCUGGAAUCAGAAGACUUCAGGCAAGAAACAUGCAAUGGAGACAACAAAUGAGUCUUGUUCUACAUUCUUCUGCCAGUUGAGGGGCAGGAGAGGAGUUUGAGAAGAAGAAUCCAUAUAGCCUUCAAUCUUGGAUGGACUCCCAGUCAAGGAAUCCUGUCUUCUCUGGAUAUGAAGCAGAAGGGUGAUCCAAGCUCCACUGAAGAAACUCCUGGAUGCUAAGAGUGGGAACAGAUGGGGCCUUGGUGGACAAUACCUACCUGAGACUCUGGUGAUAGUCUUGCUGCCAUCUGCACAAAUAUCCAACUGCUUUGAACUGCUCUGUUUAAAUUCUUUCAUGUUGGAGAAGAGAAUGGCCAAACAUGGACUGAUGAUGUCAACUUUCAUCUCAUUUAAAAUCUAACCUUUAAUUUUUUUUAUCUUCAUUUUAUUGAGAUAUAUUCACAUACCACACAGUCAUACGAAACAAAUCGUACAUUCGAUUGUUCACAGUACCAUUAC